AGUGAACGCUGGCGGUAGGCCUAACACAUGCAAGUCGAACGGCAGCACAGUAAGAGCUUGCUCUUACGGGUGGCGAGUGGCGGACGGGUGAGGAAUACAUCGGAAUCUACUUUUUCGUGGGGGAUAACGUAGGGAAACUUACGCUAAUACCGCAUACGACCUACGGGUGAAAGCAGGGGAUCUUCGGAUCUUGCGCGAUUGAAUGAGCCGAUGUCGGAUUAGCUAGUUGGCGGGGUAAAGGCCCACCAAGGCGACGAUCCGUAGCUGGUCUGAGAGGAUGAUCAGCCACACUGGAACUGAGACACGGUCCAGACUCCUACGGGAGGCAGCAGUGGGGAAUAUUGAACAAUGGGCGCAAGCCUGAUCCAGCCAUACCGCGUGGGUGAAGAAGGCCUUCGGGUUGUAAAGCCCUUUUGUUGGGAAAGAAAAGCAGUAGGUUAAUACCCCGCUGUUCUGACGGUACCCAAAGAAUAAGCACCGGCUAACUUCGUG
rnacentral:rRNA from 1 species